rfam:Salmo salar isolate Sally breed double haploid chromosome ssa28, whole genome shotgun sequence.
CCCCGUGUGGCUCAGUUGGUAGAGCAUGGUGUUUGCAACACCAGGGUUGUGGGUUCGAUUCCCACGGGGG